GAUGAACGCUGGCGGCGUGCCUAAUACAUGCAAGUCGAGCGAAGCGGGGCCGGGUGAGUAACACGUGGAUACCUUUCUAUAUGACUGGGAUAAGUUCGGGAAACCGGAGCUCAAUCGGAUACUCAUAGAUGGAUCCUCGCUGCAUUAGCUAGUUGGUAGGGUAACGGCUGACCAAGGCAACGCUGCAGAGCCGACCUGCGAGGGUGUUCGGCCACACUGGAACUGAGCCACGGUCCAGACUCCUACGGGAGGCAGCAGUGGGGAAUCUUGCGCAAUGGGCGAAAGCCUGACGGAGCAACGCCGCGUGAGUGAGGAAGGUCUUCGGAUCGUAAAGCUCUGUUAGUAGGGAAGCGGUACCUAAUCAGAAAGCAACGGCUAACUCCGUGCCAGCAGCCGCGGUAAUUC
rnacentral:rRNA from 1 species